CAGAGUAGGGGAAAUCGCGUUAAGUGCCUCAGGAUGGGAAGUUGCCUGGGGACGAAAAGACAUUGUCUGCGGUGGUUUUUCCGCGUCCGCUGU
rnacentral:ncRNA from 1 species